GGAUGCAUUUUGUGCGGUUAUG
rnacentral:miRNA from 1 species